GGACCGACCCUUCGGGAGCUUGUACAGGUGCUGCAUGGCUGUCGUCAGCUCGUGUCGUGAGAUGUUCGGUUAAGUCCGCUAACGAGCGCAACCCUCGCUGUGUGUUACAAGUGUCACACGGGAACUGCCGGUCAUAAGCCGGAGGAAGUGGGGAUGACGUCAAGUCAGCAUGGCCUUUAUAUCCUGGGCUACACACACGCUACAAUGGGAAGGGACAAUAGGUUGCGAAGCCGCGAGGCGGAGCCAAUCCAGCAAAACUUCCCUCAGUUCAGAUUGCAGGCUGCAACCCGCCUGCAUGAAGUUGGAGUUGCUAGUAAACGCAGGUCAGCCAUACUGCGUUGAAUACGUUCCCGGGGCUU
rnacentral:rRNA from 1 species